GCCCGCUUGGUGAAAGGGUAGACACGGCGCGUUUAGGGCGCGUUGCCGUAAGGCGUGGGGGUUCGAAUCCCUCAGCGGGUA
rnacentral:tRNA from 1 species